rnacentral:rRNA from 1 species
UACAGAGGUCCCAAGCGUUUGUUCGGAUUCACUGGGCGUAAAGGGUGCGUAGGUGGCAGUGUAAGUCUGAUGUGAAAGCUUCGAGCUUAACUCGAAAAUGGCAUUGGAUACUAUAUUGCUGGAGGUUUGGAGGGGGGACUGGAAUUCUCGGUGUAGCAGUUGAAAUGCGUAGAUAUCGAGAGGAACACCGGUGGCGAAGGCGAGUCCCUGGACAACACCUGACACUGAGGCACGAAAGCUAGGGGAGCAAACAGG